CUUGAACGCUGGCGGCAGGCCUAACACAUGCAAGUCGAACGCGUGGCGGACGGGUGAGUAAUGUCUGGGAAACUGCCCGAUGGAGGGGGAUAACUACUGUAAACGGUAGCUAAUACCGCAUACCAUCUGAGGUGCCCCGAUGGGAUUUGCUAGUAGGUGGGGUAUCGGCUCACCUGGGCGACGAUCCCUAGCUGGUCUGAGAGGAUGACCAGCCACACUGGAACUGAGACACGGUCCAGACUCCUACGGGAGGCAGCAGUGGGGAAUAUUGCACAAUGGGCGCAAGCCUGAUGCAGCCAUGCCGCGUGUAUGAAGAAGGCCUUCGGGUUGUAAAGUCCUUUCAGCGAGGAGGCGUUACUCGCAGAAGAAGCACCGGCUAACUCCGUGCCAGCAGCCGCGGUAAUAC
rnacentral:rRNA from 1 species